rnacentral:rRNA from 1 species
GUGAGGUAACGGCUCACCAAGGCAUCGACGGGUAGCUGGUCUGAGAGGACGAUCAGCCACACUGGGACUGAGACACGGCCCAGACUCCUAUGGGAGGCAGCAGUAGGGAAUCUUGCGCAAUAGGCGAAAGCCUGACGCAGCAACGCCGCGUGGGGGAAGAAGGCUCUCGGGUCGUAAACCCCUUUCAGCAGGGACAAAAAUGACGGUACCUGCAGAAGAAGGACCGGCCAACUACGUGCCAGCAGCCGCGGCAAUACGUAGGGUCCAAGCGUUGUCCGGAUUUAUUGGGCGUAAAGAGCUCGUAGGCGGUUUGGUAAGUCGGGUGUGAAAACUCAGGGCUCAACCCUGAGACGCCACUCGAUACUGCCAUGACUAGAGUCCGGUAGGGGAAUGUGGAAUUCCUGGUGUAGCGGUGAAAUGCGCAGGUAUCAGGAGGAACACCAACAGCGAAGGCAGCAUUCUGGGCCGGUACUGACGCUGAGGAGCGAAAGCAUGGGGAGCAAACAGGAUUAGAUACCCUGGUAGUCCAUGCCGUAAACGUUGGGCACUAGGUGUGGGUCCCAUCCAACGGGAUCCGUGCCGCAGCUAACGCAUUAAGUG